rnacentral:rRNA from 1 species
GACGAACGCUGGCGGCGUGCUUAACACAUGCAAGUCGAACGGUGACCCUCGGAGCUUGCUUCGGGGUGAGCAGUGGCGAACGGGUGAGUAACACGUGAGUAACCUGCCCCUGACUCUGGAAUAAGCGCUGGAAACGGCGUCUAAUACCGGAUACGACACGCCUCCGCAUGGGGAGCGUGUGGAAAGUUUUUCGGGCUGGGAUGGACUCGCGGCCUAUCAGCUUGUUGGUGAGGUAAUGGCUCACCAAGGCGAUGACGGGUAGCCGGCCUGAGAGGGCGACCGGCCACACUGGGACUGAGACACGGCCCAGACUCCUACGGGAGGCAGCAGUGGGGAAUAUUGCACAAUGGGCGAAAGCCUGAUGCAGCGACGCCGCGUGAGGGAUGACGGCCUUCGGGUUGUAAACCUCUUUCAGCAGGGAAGAAGCGAAAGUGACGGUACCUGCAGAAGAAGCACCGGCUAACUACGUGCCAGCCGCCGCAGUAAUAC